CCUAAAUACUAAUACCAGAUCGAUAGUGCACAAGUACCGUGAGGGAAAGGUGAAAAGAACUGAGGUGAUCAGAGUGAAAUAGAACCUGAAACCAUUUGCUUACAAUCAUUCAGAGCCCUAUGUAGCAAUACAGGGUGAUGGACUGCCUUUUGCAUAAUGAGCCUGCGAGUUGUGGUGUCUGGCAAGGUUAAGCAAACGCGAAGCCGUAGCGAAAGCGAGUCUGAAUAGGGCGCUUAGUCAGAUGCUGCAGACCCGAAACGAAGUGAUCUAUCCAUGAGCAAGUUGAAGCUAGUGUAAGAACUAGUGGAGGACUGAACCCAUAGGCGUUGAAAAGCCCCGGGAUGACUUGUGGAUAGGGGUGAAAGGCCAAUCAAACUUCGUGAUAGCUGGUUCUCUCCGAAAUAUAUUUAGGUAUAGCGUUGUGUCGUAAUAUAAGGGGGUAGAGCACUGAAUGGGCUAGGGCAUACACCAAUGUACCAAACCCUAUCAAACUCCGAAUACCUUAUAUGUAAUCACAGCAGUCAGGCGGCGAGUGAUAAAAUCCGUCGUCAAGAGGGAAACAACCCAGACUACCAGCUAAGGUCCCUAAAUCUUACUUAAGUGGAAAACGAUGUGAAGUUACUUAAACAACCAGGAGGUUGGCUUAGAAGCAGCCAUCCUUUAAAGAAAGCGUAAUAGCUCACUGGUCUAGUGAUUUUGCGCGGAAAAUAUAACGGGGCUAAAGUAAGUACCGAAGCUGUAGACUUGCGCACAACUUAGAUUAUUUAAGUUUAGAAUAUGAGAAACUAAGUUAUAUGUUUAGUUAUAUUUUUACUGAUUUUUAUAGAGUAAAGAUAGAAAUAAAACUUAGUAAAAUCAGUAAAAAUAUUCUUAGACUAAAGUUAAGUAGUUUAAGUUGUGUGCAAGUGGUAGGAGAGCGUUCUAUUUGCGUCGAAGGUAUACCGGUAAGGAGUGCUGGAGCGAAUAGAAGUGAGCAUGCAGGCAUGAGUAGCGAUAAUUAAUGUGAGAAUCAUUAACGCCGUAAACCCAAGGUUUCCUACGCGAUGCUCGUCAUCGUAGGGUUAGUCGGGUCCUAAGUCGAGUCCGAAAGGGGUAGACGAUGGCAAAUUGGUUAAUAUUCCAAUACCAACAUUAGUGUGCGAUGGAAGGACGCUUAGGGCUAAGGGGGCUAGCGGAUGGAAGUGCUAGUCUAAGGUCGUAGGAGGUUAUACAGGCAAAUCCGUAUAACAAUACUCCGAGAACUGAAAGGCUUUUUGAAGUCUUCGGAUGGAUAGAAGAACCCCUGAUGCCGUCGAGCC
rnacentral:rRNA from 1 species